rfam:Oryza sativa Japonica Group DNA, chromosome 11, cultivar: Nipponbare, complete sequence.
AAUAAAUGCAGUUUGGAACUGUUCAUAUCCAACGUUUAACCGUUUGUCUUAUUUGAAAAAAAAAAUUAUGAUUAUUUUUUUAUUGUUAUUAGAUGAUAAAAUAUGAAUAGUAAUUUAUGUGUGACUAAUUUUUAAAUUUUUUUCAUAAAUUUUUUAAAUAAAAUGGACGAUCAAAUGUUAGACACGAAUACUCACAACUAUACUUAUU